AUUGAACGCUGGCGGCAUGCUUUACACAUGCAAGUCGAACGGUAACAGGCCGCAAGGUGCUGACGAGUGGCGAACGGGUGAGUAAUGCAUCGGAACGUGCCCAGUCGUGGGGGAUAACUACUCGAAAGAGUAGCUAAUACCGCAUACGAUCUAUGGAUGAAAGCGGGGGACCGUAAGGCCUCGCGCGAUUGGAGCGGCCGAUGUCAGAUUAGGUAGUUGGUGGGGUAAAGGCUCACCAAGCCAACGAUCUGUAGCUGGUCUGAGAGGACGACCAGCCACACUGGGACUGAGACACGGCCCAGACUCCUACGGGAGGCAGCAGUGGGGAAUUUUGGACAAUGGGCGCAAGCCUGAUCCAGCAAUGCCGCGUGCAGGAAGAAGGCCUUCGGGUUGUAAACUGCUUUUGUACGGAACGAAACGGCUCUGGUUAAUACCCGGGGCUAAUGACGGUACCGUAAGAAUAAGCACCGGCGAACUACGUG
rnacentral:rRNA from 1 species